AAAACACCUAAAACCAAGGAACGGCUAUCGGGUGAAUAACACUUGGGUAACCUGCCCAUUAGAAGGGGAUAACACUUGGAAACAGGUGCUAAUACCGUAUAACAAUCGAAACCGCAUGGUUUUGAUUUGAAAGGCGCUUUCGGGUGUCGCUGAUGGAUGGACCCGCGGUGCAUUAGCUAGUUGGUGAGGUAACGGCUCACCAAGGCCACGAUGCAUAGCCGACCUGAGAGGGUGAUCGGCCACAUUGGGACUGAGACACGGCCCAAACUCCUACGGGAGGCAGCAGUAGGGAAUCUUCGGCAAUGGACGAAAGUCUGACCGAGCAACGCCGCGUGAGUGAAGAAGGUUUUCGGAUCGUAAAACUCUGUUGUUAGAGAAGAACAAGGAUGAGAGUAACUGUUCAUCCCUUGACGGUAUCUAACCAGAAAGCCACGGCUAACUACGUGCCAGCAGCCGCGGUAAUACGUAGGUGGCAAGCGUUGUCCGGAUUUAUUGGGCGUAAAGCGAGCGCAGGCGGUUUCUUAAGUCUGAUGUGAAAGCCCCCGGCUCAACCGGGGAGGGUCAUUGGAAACUGGGAGACUUGAGUGCAGAAGAGGAGAGUGGAAUUCCAUGUGUAGCGGUGAAAUGCGUAGAUAUAUGGAGGAACACCAGUGGCGA
rnacentral:rRNA from 1 species